GCCCGGCCUACCUUCACUCGGAAGGUUUCUUUUUUGGUCAACAGAUGACGCCACUUUCACUCACUAAGAGCGCUAAGAGGCGGGUCCAAAUCAGUUCUUCCACGAGUUCCACCGGCUGUCCACCCGGGCUGGAGUCGGGUGGAGGAGUGGGAUGGACGGACCGGGUCCGAUCUGACCAUAAAUAUUUUCCAGGUACCCGGACGAUUUAUGGUCCGGGGUUCGUCCAACUAACUAUCGGUAUACCUAGGUGUCGGAUCCCACCCGGACACGGUGACCUUGGGCAGAAAGAAACAGCCGGUAGGUAAUGGAGUGAGGAACGGAGUAUUUAAAGUUUUUUUUAUGUUUGAGCCGUAAUAUUUUAAAAAUAAGUGGAUAGGUCUUUAAAAGGUAUUCUGGUGACCGGGUUAACCCGUAAUGCGGAUAGGUCCCGGGUGGCCUAGCCGCAUUCUUUCUAUUCCGUCCGGAUAAAAAUCCGAUUAAAUAAACGAUGCUCCUGGGGAUGGGAGGUUAAAUAAUAAUAAUAAUAAUAAUAAUAAUAAUAAUAAUAAUAAUAAUAAUAA
rnacentral:lncRNA from 1 species